UGGGGAAUUGUUCGCAAUGGACGAAAGUCUGACGACGCAACGCCGCGUGAAGGAUGAAGGUCUUCGGAUUGUAAACUUCUGUUGGGUGGGAAGCGGUACCACCUGAGGAAGCCCCGGCUAACUCUGUGCCAGCAGCCGCGGUAAUACAGAGGGGGCAAGCGUUGUUCGGAAUUACUGGGCGUAAAGGGCGCGUAGGCGGCUAUUAAGUCAGACGUGAAAUCCCUCGGCUCAACCGGGGAACUGCGUCUGAUACUGGUGGGCUUGAGUCGGGAGAGGAAUGUGGAAUUCCAGGUGUAGCGGUGAAAUGCGUAGAUAUCUGGAGGAACACCGGUGGCGAAGGCGGCAUUCUGGACCGACACUGACGCUGAGGCGCGAAAGCCAGGGGAGCAAACGGGAUUAGAUACCCGAGUAGU
rnacentral:rRNA from 1 species